UACGGGGGGGGCAAGCGUUGUUCGGAAUUACUGGGCGUAAAGGGCGCGUAGGCGGCUUGCUAAGUUGGAUGUGAAAACUCUGGGCUUAACCCAGAGCCUGCAUUCAAUACUGGCAGGCUAGAGUUCUGGAGGGGAUAGCGGAAUUCCUGGUGUAGCGGUGAAAUGCGUAGAUAUCAGGAGGAACACCGGUGGCGAAGGCGGCUAUCUGGACAGAGUCUGACGCUGAGGCGCGAAAGCUAGGGGAGCAAACAGG
rnacentral:rRNA from 1 species